rnacentral:rRNA from 1 species
UACGUAGGGGCCUAGCGUUGUCCGGAAUUACUGGGCGUAAAGGGCGCGUAGGCGGCCUGCUAAGUCGAACGUGAAAUCCCUGGGCUCAACCCAGGAACUGCGUCCGAUACUGGUUGGCUUGAAUCCGGGAGAGGGAUGUGGAAUUCCAGGUGUAGCGGUGAAAUGCGUAGAUAUCUGGAGGAACACCGGUGGCGAAGGCGACAUCCUGGACCGGUAUUGACGCUGAGGCGCGAAAGCCAGGGGAGCAAACGGG